UUUCGCCAUCAUCAUGGUUCUAUGUAUAUAUAUAUAUAUAUAUAUAUAAAUGUAUGUAUAUGUACAUAUGUUUGUGUGUGUAAAGUGUAGUAUGGAUAAUAAGUAUAGUAUAUCCAUGCAGAGGAAGCACUUAGGGGAAAAGAGAAUAUUUUGUAGAGGGGAUUGGAGCACGCGCCGCAUAUUCGCCCUUCCAAAGGUGGAUUUAAUUUUUUUUUGAAGGAUCCAAAUUAUCCAAUCAAAUUAAUUGUAUUAAAAUUAAUUUUGAGAAAAAAAAUCUUUUAGUUACACUUGAUCUUAUUGUCACAUUGAUCAAGUAAUAGCACAAAAGUCGAUGUUAAAUUUAUUUAACUGAUUAUUUUUGCUGGUAUGAUCCUUGGGCUUUAAACCACGAGCCUGAUGUAAGAUUAGCCUUAAGGAGAACAAGAAGAUUCGUUGGUGGGAUAAGAAAUGAAUAAAUGGACAUUUCGGCAUUUGCAUUUUAGUAUCCAACACAACAGCAACUACGAUCCAAGUCAUUUUUUAUCUUAUAUUAUUUGGCAAAACUUUGCUUCCCGAUUCUCUGCGCCAGAUCAAAAUUUUUUUUCGACAAAUAAAAAGGGAUCGGGUACGCCCUAAUUACGGAUAUGAAUAAAUGAAUUUAUAUUUAAACCAAGGGAUGAAAGGUUUAUUAAAUUUUAUGAUUGAAAAUCCAGGUGCUCAAUUUUUAUUAUUUUAUUUUAUUAUUUAUUCGAUCCAAUUGAAUUGAAAUCGAAAUUGAAUUUAUUGGGAGAAAAAUUUUUUUUUUUUUUUUUUUGGGAAAUAUCGAGUGAUGGGA